GAUGAACGCUGGCGGCGUGCCUAAUACAUGCAAGUCGAGCGAACAGACGAGGAGCUUGCUCCUCUAACGUUAGCGGCGGACGGGUGAGUAACACGUGGAUAACCUACCUAUAAGACUGGGAUAACUUCGGGAAACCGUAGCUAAUACCGGAUAAUAUAUUGAACCGCAUGGUUCAAUAGUGAAAGACGGUUUUGCUGUCACUUAUAGAUGGAUCCGCGCUGCAUUAGCUAGUUGGUAAGGUAACAGCUUACCAAGGCAACGAUGCGUAGCCGACCUGAGAGGGUGAUCGGCCACACUGGAACUGAGACACGGUCCAGACUCCUACGGGAGGCAGCAGUAGGGAAUCUUCCGCAAUGGGCGAAAGCCUGACGGAGCAACGCCGCGUGAGUGAUGAAGGUCUUCGGAUCGUAAAACUCUGUUAUUAGGGAAGAACAAAUGUGUAAGUAACUAUGCACGUCUUGACGGUACCUAAUCAGAAAGCCACGGCUAACUACGUG
rnacentral:rRNA from 1 species